UACGUAGGGUGCGAGCGUUAAUCGGAAUUACUGGGCGUAAAGCGUGCGCAGGCGGUUAUGUAAGGCAGAUGUGAAAUCCCAGGGCUCAACCUUGGAACUGCAUUUGUGACUGCAUCGCUGGAGUGCGGCAGAGGGGGAUGGAAUUCCGCGUGUAGCAGUGAAAUGCGUAGAUAUGCGGAGGAACACCGAUGGCGAAGGCAAUCCCCUGGGCCUGCACUGACGCUCAUGCACGAAAGCGUGGGGAGCAAACAGG
rnacentral:rRNA from 1 species